GCCUCUGUGGUGCAGUGGUAGAGCACACAUCCUCGGCAUGGAUGGAACGCGAGUUCGAUUCCCGUCUGAGGCC